CCAGGAUUUUUUUUUGGGGGGGGGGAGUUAAUUGUAGUGAAAUAUACAUAACAUAAAAUUUACCAUUUUAACCACUUUUAAGGGUACAAUCCAAUGGCAUUAAGCAUAUUCACAACCAUCACCACUAUGCAUUUCCAGAACUUUUCAUUAUCUCAAACAGAAACUUUGUGCUCAUUCAGCAAUAGCUUCCCCAUCCCUCUACCCCAGUCCCUGGCAGCUUGUCAUAGAGGGCCUGAAUUUCCUAUUCCAGAUACUUCUAAGUGGGACCAUAUAACAUUUGUCCUUUUGUGUCUGGCUUAUUUCACUUCGUAUAAUGUUUUCAAAGCUCAUCCACAUUGUAUCAUGUGUCAGAAUGUCCUUCCUUUUUAAGGCUGAAUAAUAUUCCAUUGUGUGCGGGUACCACGUCGUAUUUAAGCUUAGGUUCAUCCGCUGAUGGAGGGCUGGGAUUCGUACCGAGAUGGCUGAUUCCAACCCCAUUCUGGUUGGCGCUGAGCCCAGCACAGUGCCCCUAGCGGCCACCAGAGGGCGCACAGAGACUCCCAGGCGGGACAAGGGGUCGGUUUGUGGGAGGAAGAGGGAGCUGGAACUCAGCCUCUUGCGCGCACGCACCAGGCACAACAGCACAACGGACACCCAGAAGCAUGCUGAUGAGAGGGAAGCGGGCCGCAGGAAAAGCUACCCAACUAUAAAUUCGGCCUCCAGUGGAGGAAAGGGGAUGAGGAAACUGAGACUCGGAGCCAUUGACUGCUUGUCCAGAGCAAUCAGGGGAGGCAAGAUCUGAACACCUGCUGCCGGGAGGGUCCUGUGAGCUUCUCCUCACCUGGAGAUCAUUCUUCACCUGCCGUGAACAAGAACUUGGAGUCCAGUAUCAUCUUUCCGGUGCCAGAAGGAUGGAGAGAGAGAUCAACAGGUGAACAGAUGAACAGAUAGGUGGAUAGGAAGGCCGCAGGCUCUAAGAAGUGGUGGAUCGCUGCUAUCAAGGAGCCGCCUCAAGCAGGGAUGGCCUGGGGCAGAAGAUGCUAAGGGAAGGAUGGGGUGGGGGGGCUGGAAGGGGGGGUUCUCUCCACCCCCUUCACCACUUUAGCCAGACCGCCUCCUCCUCUACGUCGGAUUAUAAAUUGAUUUUAUGAAC
rnacentral:lncRNA from 1 species